GGAUUAGAUACCCUGGUAGUCCACGCUGUAAACGAUGAGUACUAGAUGGUGGGUGAUUCGACCCUCUCACUGUUACAGUUAACGCAUUAAGUACUCCGCCUGGGAAGUACGUUCGCAAGAAUGAAACUCAAAGGAAUUGACGGGGACCCGCACAAGCGGUGGAUUAUGUGGUUUAAUUCGAUGCAACGCGAAGAACCUUACCUAGAUUUGACAUGUUAAAGAAAGCCUCGUGAAAGCGAGGGCCUUUUUAAGUUUACUUAAAAACUUUUUCACAGGUGAUGCAUGGCUGUCGUCAGCUCGUGCCG
rnacentral:rRNA from 1 species